UCAGAUAAAAGUACGUCCAAAAUAGCGUAUAUCUCCUAAUAUCAUAACCUGUUAUAAUAUUUUUAUUAUUAAGCGACUUAUCGAGAAACGCGACAAAUAAAUUAUGAAAUUCGUCGAAUUACGUUUAACUCGAGUAGAUAAAGGAAAUAAUUUAUCGAAUUUUAUAACGGUAUCCCUUCGACUAAUUAUCGUUAAAUACGUGUCAUUAUAUCGACAAAUUACACGGAAAGUUUGACGACAGAGUUUCUAUAAACAAAUUUGCUCCAAUUCCUGUUUUAUCGUCAGGAAUGUAGGUCAAUGGAAUAAACGUGAGAGAAGUACCAGAACUAGAAAAGAUUCAUGACGACUGUGCUCGCAAUAAGAUAAUGUUCACUGCGUGAAGCCUAUCUAGACUGGCUAAAGCAUACGCAUGAGAAGAUUAAUAAAGUCAGUCUUUUGCGUCACUCUUUGUAAAAUCAAGCGAAAUUCCACUUGACAUGUAAAAAAGAUUGGAAAAAUGAAAAUAUGAAUAAUGGAUAACGUAAACAAAGGUAAAAAUAAUUCCUUUCAAUAGGGGAAAUAAAGAAAUUUCUUUCGACAUACGUAUAUGCGGUAAUUGACACGUGUCCGUAAUUUGAAUAACAGAUUGACAAAUACGUUUACUUUGAAUGAGUUCUACUACUCCAUUUGAUUUCCUACGACCAGCGAGCAAGCACAGAACCAGAGAAGAAUCAAAAGUAGAGGAGGUUUGUUGUGGAUCCGGCUAUGCCUGACGAUGAGGUAAUGUUUGCUACACGAGUCAAAGCUAUCUAGUCAGCCAAAGAACGAACACACACGAAGCCCCCGUUCGAGCCACUCGGAGCCCCGUAGAUAAAACCAGUCAGUGUGUGGCGUCGUACAUUCCUAAGUUAUAUGUGUGCGUGCUAGACAUAUACAAAUACAUUGGAACGAUGAUACUGUAAGAUCGAAUACCCGAAUGCAUUUUUGAAUUGAAAUGCUCCAGAAUUUUCGGAAAUAAUCAACCAUGGAGGAAUUUAAAUUCGCACUGAAGAAACAAAUGUUACAAAUCUUUACUUUUACCUUUAAGUAAUAAUAAUUACAAGACAAAGACGAGCUGCUCGCUGCGUCAUAUAUAUAUAUAUUAAUUAAUUAAUUAAUAUAACAGAAAUAUAAAACGAAAUGAUCACGUAUCGUUGCUUUGACUUUAAAUUGCUAAUUAUUGCUGCGAUACAUUUUUACAAUUAUCAUAAUUGUAAAGACAUACCAUUGAAAAAUUGUCACAUCGUAUCACCGAUAGAUGCAAAGAGAGCGUAAAAGGGGACAAUUAUGCAGAAGCGAGAGCGUCAUGAAAGGUGGAAAAAAUAUGUUGUAAAUAUUUUUGCGCUAUUUAGGAUUCGUCAAAGGAUAAUCGAGUCAAAGCUGCAGUUCGAAAGCGAUGACGCGUUUAAAUAAGACGAUCGAAAAUCGAUACCAGAGAACAGAAGACUGAAAUUGUAUAGUGGUUCGCGUG